ACAAAUCUGAAUUAGUCGAGCCUCAAAAGGGGUAUCGAACAUCAUGAGAAAAAGAUUGUUUAGUUGUAUAUACACGGUAGAUUAAUCAUCCAAAUAAACUAUUUAAAAACCUUUUAGCAACUCAAUUAAAAAAAAUUAAAGGCAAAAUCAAAAGUACAGAUCUUCUAUUAAAUAUGAAUUUGAAUGAACAUAUGGAGAGCAAAAGAAAAAAGCAACACCGG
rnacentral:lncRNA from 1 species